CCAAUAGCGUAUAUUAAAGUUGUUGCAGUUAAAAAGCUCGUAGUUGAAUUUCGGAGUUUGUCGGUUGGUCGGGCUUCACUGUCCGCACUGGCCUGAUGGAUUCCUACCUUCUGAAUAACCAGCAUGCUAUUAAGUUAGUGCGUUGGGGAAGCAGAGCUAUUACCUUGAAAAAAUUAGAGUGCUUAAAGCAGGCUUAUGCUUGAAUAGAUUAGCAUGGAAUAAUAAAAUAGGACGGCAUGGUUCUAUUUUGUUGGUUUCUAGGAUCACCGUAAUGAUUAAUAGGGAUAGUUGGGGGCAUUAGUAUUAAAUUGUCAGAGGUGAAAUUCUUGGAUUUAUUGAAGACUAACUUCUGCGAAAGCAUUUGCCAAGGAUGUUUUCAUUAAUCAAGAACGAAAGUUAGGGGAUCGAAGACGAUCAGAUACCGUCGUAGUCUUAACCAUAAACUAUGCCGACUAGGGAUCGGACGAUGUUAAUUUUUUAAUGACUCGUUCGGCGCCUUACG
rnacentral:misc_RNA from 1 species